ensembl:lncRNA
UUGAGUUCAUAUAUAUUUUUUAUUAUGAUUAAGAUAAUCACAUUACACAACAUAAUGAAUAUUGUUUCCUCAUAACUUCGACCAUACCAAAAUAUAGAUCAAAUGUAGGCUACUGGAUAUAAUUUGAGACAUGCUGCAACAUUUUAACAUUACCACAUAACGUACAUGUACUCACGUCAAGUGUUCCUUAAAUCCAAAUGAAUUCAUGUUAACGAGCCAGCCUGUGCCUGUCUCAGAUUGUUUCAUUGUCAGAAUACACCCAAAACUGCUGCGGAUAAUUCAUUUAUUUGGAAUGUUUGUGAACAGUUAUAUCUCGUCCUUGAUCACAAUAUAGAGAAAUUAGAAAAAACGCUUUAUACCGUUUGAACGUUUUUGGAAAACUUACAUGGUCAUUAUAUGAUUCAUAUCUAACACAAUACAUAAUGUUCAUCGGAGUACAAAUCUGUAAAAUAAACGUUUUUGAAAUGCACAAUUACAUGCAAUCAGCUCUGAGUUUCACAAUUUUGACAAAUACAUUCUCAUGUUGAAUUAUAUGUUCACACAGCUUAGAAUUUCUGGUUAAAAUAUAAUUCUACUUUAGAAUGUCAUCUACUAUAGGUUUACAGUAGUGCAAAAGUAAACUUUUCAAGACAAUAUUUUAACAAUAUAUAAGGAUUAUCUUGAGUACCUAUAAUUUCAGCCUAACAGUGGUCUACAACUCCUGGUUUACAGGCCACAUUAAGCCUGCAAGUAACACAAUGUUUGUUAAACUGAUAAGUCCACACAGAGUCAGGAAAAGGCUGGAUCAUUUGAACCUCACCUGAAACCUGCAUUGUGAAUGACAGCUAAGGUAGAGAAUAUGAACUGGAACAGCAAUCUCUAUAGUGGGUGGAAAACAUCCAACUAUUAACCAGAAAGGACCCAAGUAAAUUUGCAGCUGUCUAAAAACAACAAAGGUAAAAAAUAAGGUACUCGUCCCUUGUGUAAAACCUAAAAAGCCUUUACUUUAGUGACUGUUGAAUGGAAACAGUUAAAAACACACCAGCAAGUUGCAGCUGACAUGCUUAUUCAAGGUCCUCUGAUGACAAACAAUUUGUCUUCACAUUCGAUGCCGACACAGCACGCCAUACUGUUGCAUUUGUAAAGCGAGCAGAUGAGAUUGAUUUUGGAAAAUGUAUGCUAUAUAUGUUUGUCUAGAAUAGUUUUAAAUUAACCAAUUAAUCUACACUCCAUGCAAAAAUACAGGUUAUAAAAGAAAGUUUGGCAAGUUAACCUGCAAUAAAGCAUGCUAGAAGACAUGGGAGAUAGGUGUGGUUUUGAGCCAACAUAUUUGUAAUUCUCCUCAAGCUUGAUCCAGUUCAGCUAACUUCAAGCUGAGAUGGUUAACUGAACUGUAAAGGCAACCAGCUGCGUAGGAUUGUGAGUCUUAUCAACAUUUUGUCACUGUUAAACCAACAUACUGAAUUCAUUGUUGCUUUCCCAAGGAAAACAGAAAACAAACUUCUACUUUUCUAAUUUAGUUCGCUUCAAGCAAAGUUUGUUGACUGAAAAAACAAACACAUCAGCUCUAAUUCCUUGCCAUAUUUAGUUCACUCAUAUUACAGAAUAAUGCCAAUUAUGCAAUUAGUUGUUUUUUUAGGAUGUGCAGGACUAUCAGCUCAAAACUGCUGGUGACUGUUAAUAACAUCAGCAGCAAACAUGUUUUAUUUAUUCAUCUGGAUAGAUGCCGUCUCUCCACAAAUCUGUCAACAACUGAAAAUUGCUAGCAAAUCUUUCAAACCAAAAUAUAGCAUUAGGCAGCUGACUGUGCAUGCAGUGGAUGACACAAUUUCCAGACAGUUCAUUUAUCUAAUUUUCUUCUUUCAUUACUCAGAUUGCUUCACCUGCAUUGGCAUACUUUGGCCGCUAGUCUUUGAGCAUAACGCCCAGAACAGCUGUGAUGGGAGAAAGGCCAGUCCUCAAAAUGCUUCUGAAAAUAGUGUGGGGAUCUGUCGCCAGGCGGGAAAGAGAAAAGAAGAGAGAGACAGACACAAGUCAUUGAGAAAGAAAGAGAGAACGUGAGACAGCAAAGAGAAACCAGUGAAGGUCAAAGCCUCCUGUCAUGGCUGCAGGUGGCUCACUCCCCCACUCCGCAGUAACCCAUUCUCUACACAGUACGUUCUCACCCAAACCCAGUCCCUGUCUUUUUCUCCUCUCUGUUCCCCUCCCCUUUUCACACACACACACACACACACACACAAAGACUUCUGUAACUUUUAAUGUGAUAUUUUGAUGUGAGCAUUGGGAAGUUUGAAACCCGCCAUCACACUCAAGUAACAGACAAACUGUAAAGCCCUAAAACCUUUUCUUCUUGUUGUGAAGGUUAAAGAUGAUAGACUGAGAUUUCCUAGGUAAACACUGGUUUUCCUUAUUGAACAGCGCAUUUGAGAGCAUACUAACCAAGUACAACAUUUGGUUAGCAGUGAGAUGAAAGCUUACUUAACUGAAAAAGUUAACAAAUAACCAGAUGCUACUGUUUCAGCAUGCAUAAAAAAAUACUGUAUGAAAAUAGAAUCGAAGUCAUUGCCUUAAAAGUUUACAAGACUUUCCAAAAGUUUCCAUUCAACAGGCAGAAAGAAAUGGAGUUAUAAAAACAAAAAAACUAGAAUAAAACCGAGGGAAACAGAGAAUACAGGGAAGAAAACAGUAAACUAUGAACGUCCCUGGUCCGGCUCUCCUAAAACAGAAUUGUGCUAUGCCAUCCAUCUUUUCCACUGUAUCAUUUGAGCACAGUUUCUAAAUGCUCCCUACAGCUCAAGUGGAAUCUGCUCCAAGGUGCCCGAGCUUUGCGGCGGAAACAUCAUUAAAGCAGUGAAAGAAAUAAAAGGUGGAGAAUGGGGAUGACAUCAGGCCGAUUUCACACUUGGCAUUCGAAUGGCCGGGCCCAAGCCAGGACCCUUGCCAUGCAACACAGAUCAAAGCCCACUAUCGCCACACCAUUGCAAGAAAAAGAAGGCAAAAGAGCACCUCAAUAUGCUAAUCCCCAGGACAAAUAUAUUUUAAUCUCGUUAGAAUACAAGUUAAUGCCACAGCCUGACUGGACUUGGUGGGGAGAACACAAGUGGACAGAUGCACCUUUCACCUUUCUUAACGCGGUACUUCUGUCUGGCACGGCUUGACCAUAGUCAGGUCCAACUUUCCUUGGGUGACCACCUCAAUGCAUUAACAAGCCACACACAAACACACAUACACACACACACACACACACACACACACACACACACACUAACACACACACACAGUGCACAGGCUGUUUUCAUUAUGAACAAUGAUGAGACAAACAGCCAUUCCAGCAGUUGUGUCACUGACCCUGUCUGAAUCCCCACCAGGGCACCUAACAUGCAAAGGAAAUGAGUUAUUUUGUGGUCCAGUUUGUUCCCCCUUGCAUUGAGCCCUUCUCUCCCAAUAGCACCUUGGUAACCCUUGAUCUCUCAUGUAUGGGACUCAGAGCACUGGGGCCUGCAGAAGUUGACUGGGCAGACAAUGAGAAGCGGAUGCAUUCUAAAAAGUCACACAGAAGGCAACUCUCAUUUCACACACUGUGUUGGAGUGACCACUCGGACGGAGAGGCACAGAAUCGUUUUCAUGGCAAUGCUAGAUGUUUUUACGGGGGGUUUCCAUUUCUGUUCAGCUCCUUUUCCUCAUGUGGGAUAUCCAAUGACCUUUUCUGGUAUAGGCCAAACUUCCAAUUUUGUCAUGUAAAGAGCAUUUUCAGUGAAAAAAAAACAGAUCAAGCCAAGAAUCCAUAAACUUGUUGAAUACUAUUCCUGGAAAGAUUUCUCUAAACUAACUCAUGAAAUAAGGUUGCUAGUCUGUUGAUAGAUGCACACCAGAUACCACUGACUUCAAUUGCAGGACAAUUAAGAAAAAAGUAACCAAAAAUAUUUGGUUAUAAGUAAGAUAAUGUUGAGAGACUGGCUGAUCAUGAAAAAAGUAGGAUUAUAUAAAAAGUUGUUAAAUGAUACAUGCUGAUUUCCCUUUAUAAAAUGAAUUCCCUGAACAGACAAACAUUUUUAAGCUGGAAGCUCUGGCAAAAGUACAUGGAGGUGAAAAAAUAUACGCUCACGACAUUAAUUCAUGGUAGUUUGAGUAUUUGACAUUGAAAAUUUGAUUGGUGUAAGAUUGCAAGAAAAUCAGCAGUCCACAAUUUGUUCUGAUAGUUACGUUUCUUGAAUGACAGAGUUGUGAUAUAUUGCACUAAUCUAAACUAAAUUAAUUACGUGACUUCCCUUCAAGAUUUCCUCAUUUUCCAAGUUCAUCAACUAAGGCAUAACAUCAAAUACAAAUUAGCACCAAUUCUCUAAAAUUCCAUAAUUUUAAUGUCAAGGCACAUCUUUCUCUUAGUUUUGAGUGCACAUAUGUACCAUUUAAAAAGCUACAGAAACCAAUAUAAAAAUG